rnacentral:snoRNA from 1 species
AUGAUGAGGCCUACCUCGCUGAGCUGUGAUGAGUGGGUGAGCUGGCUGA